rnacentral:rRNA from 1 species
UACAGAGGGGGCAAGCGUUGUUCGGAAUUACUGGGCGUAAAGGGCGCGUAGGCGGCCUGUUAAGUCGACCGUGAAAUCCCCGGGCUCAACCCGGGAACUGCGUCCGAUACUGGCAGGCUUGAAUUCGGGAGAGGGAUGUGGAAUUCCAGGUGUAGCGGUGAAAUGCGUAGAUAUCUGGAGGAACACCGGUGGCGAAGGCGGCAUCCUGGACCGAUAUUGACGCUGAGGCACGAAAGCGUGGGGAGCAAACAGG